rnacentral:snRNA from 1 species
AUACUUACCUGGUAGGGGAGAUACCAUGCUCAUGAAAGUGGUUUUCCCAGAACAAGGCUGAUCAUUGCAUUGGGGAUCUGCUGACCCUUGUGAUUUCCCCACAGGGAGGAAACUCGACUGCAUAAUUUGUGUUGGUGGGAGGUUGCAUGUAUGUUUUCCGC